rnacentral:rRNA from 1 species
UUGGAGGGCAAGUCUGGUGCCAGCAGCCGCGGUAAUUCCAAGCUCCAAUAGCGUAUAUUAAAGUUGUUGCAGUUAAAAAAGCUCGUAGUUGAAUUUCGGGAUCAGACUGUCGGUCGUGCCUCGGUACGCACUGGCAUUAUUGGUUCCUACCUUCUGAAGAACCGCGAUGUCAUUAAUUUGGUGUCGCGGGGAAUCAGGACUGUUACUUUGAAAAAAUUAGAGUGUUUAAAGCAGGCUUACGCUUGAAUACAUUAGCAUGGAAUAAUGAAAA